rnacentral:lncRNA from 1 species
AAAAACAUAGAAAAUCUGGGAACAAAAAAAGGGAAUAGAGAGCAAAGGGGGCUGAUGCAAAACAAACAGAGAGGAAGGCUAGCGGAAGAACAGAGCAAGGUAGGAGCAAAAAUGAGAAAAGCAGAGCAAUGGGCUUCGGGCGGCUUCGGGCUGAAACGGAUGAAGCUAAAAACAGAAAAAGAGAAAGGCAGCAGGAGGCGGCGCCCUUGGCUUCCCUUCA